CAGGUGUCUGUGUAUCAGACUUAAUAGAGAAUCCGGUAUAAGCCGGAACGGUCCCGCCACUGUAAGGAAGAGCGAAGCACAAUUAUGUCACUGGGGAAGCAUCCCUGGGAAGGCGUGUGGAGCGAUGAGGCCAAGUCAGGAGAACUGCCUGUUUUA
rnacentral:ncRNA from 1 species